rnacentral:rRNA from 1 species
CCUACGGGGGGCUGCAGUGGGGAAUAUUGCACAAUGGGGGAAACCCUGAUGCAGCGACGCCGCGUGAAGGAAGAAGUAUUUCGGUAUGUAAACUUCUAUCAGCAGGGAAGAAAAUGACGGUACCUGACUAAGAAGCCCCGGCUAACUACGUGCCAGCAGCCGCGGUAAUACGUAGGUGGCAAGCGUUGUCCGGAUUUACUGGGUGUAAAGGGCGUGCAGCCGGAGAGACAAGUCAGAUGUGAAAUCCACGGGCUCAACCCGUGAACUGCAUUUGAAACUGUUUCCCUUGAGUGUCGGAGAGGUAAUCGGAAUUCCGAGUGUAGCGGUGAAAUGCGUAGAUAUUAGGAAGAACACCAGUGGCGAAGGCGGAUUACUGGACGAUAACUGACGGUGAGGCGCGAAAGCGUGGGGAGCAAACAGGAUUAGAUACCCGUGUAGUC